rnacentral:rRNA from 1 species
AGUCGAGGGGCAGCAUGGUCUUAGCUUGCUAAGGCCGAUGGCGACCGGCGCACGGGUGAGUAACACGUAUCCAACCUGCCGUCUACUCUUGGACAGCCUUCUGAAAGGAAGAUUAAUACAAGAUGGCAUCAUGAGUCCGCAUGUUCACAUGAUUAAAGGUAUUCCGGUAGACGAUGGGGAUGCGUUCCAUUAGAUAGUAGGCGGGGUAACGGCCCACCUAGUCUUCGAUGGAUAGGGGUUCUGAGAGGAAGGUCCCCCACAUUGGAACUGAGACACGGUCCAAACUCCUACGGGAGGCAGCAGUGAGGAAUAUUGGUCAAUGGGCGAGAGCCUGAACCAGCCAAGUAGCGUGAAGGAUGACUGCCCUAUGGGUUGUAAACUUCUUUUAUAAAGGAAUAAAGUCGGGUAUGCAUACCCGUUUGCAUGUACUUUAUGAAUAAGGAUCGGCUAACUCCGUGCCAGCAGCCGCGGUAAUACGGAGGAUCCGAGCGUUAUCCGGAUUUAUUGGGUUUAAAGGGAGCGUAGAUGGAUGUUUAAGUCAGUUGUGAAAGUUUGCGGCUCAACCGUAAAAUUGCAGUUGAUACUGGAUAUCUUGAGUGCAGUUGAGGCAGGCGGAAUUCGUGGUGUAGCGGUGAAAUGCUUAGAUAUCACGAGGAACUCCGAUUGCGAAGGCAGCCUGCUAAGCUGCAACUGACAUUGAGGCUCGAAAGUGUGGGUAUCAAACAGGAUUAGAUACCCUGGUAGUCCACACGGUAAACGAUGAAUACUCGCUGUUUGCG